AACUCUUGACAUCCAGAGAAGAGGCUAGAGAUAGCUUUGUGCCUUCGGGAACUCUGAGACAGGUGCUGCAUGGCUGUCGUCAGCUCGUGUUGUGAAAUGUUGGGUUAAGUCCCGUAACGAGCGCAACCCUUAUCUUUAGUUGCUACCAUUUAGUUGAGAACUCUAAAGAGACUGCCGGUGAUAAACCGGAGGAAGGCGGGGACGACGUCAAGUCAUCAUGGCCCUUAUGGGAUGGGCUACACACGUGCUACAAUGGAGGGUACAAAGAGCAGCCAACUGGCGACAGUGCGCGAAUCUCAUAAAACCCUUCGUAGUCCGGAUCGGAGUCUGCAACUCGACUCCGUGAAGUCGGAAUCGCUAGUAAUCGUGAAUCAGAAUGUCACGGUGAAUACGUUCCCGGGCCU
rnacentral:rRNA from 1 species